ACGAACGCUGGCGGCGUGCUUAACACAUGCAAGUCGAACGAAGAGCGAUGGAAGCUUGCUUCUAUCAAUCUUAGUGGCGAACGGGUGAGUAACGCGUAAUCAACCUGCCCUUCAGAGGGGGACAACAGUUGGAAACGACUGCUAAUACCGCAUACGAUCUAAUCUCGGCAUCGAGGAUAGAUGAAAGGUGGCCUCUACAUGUAAGCUAUCACUGAAGGAGGGGAUUGCGUCUGAUUAGCUAGUUGGAGGGGUAACGGCCCACCAAGGCGAUGAUCAGUAGCCGGUCUGAGAGGAUGAACGGCCACAUUGGGACUGAGACACGGCCCAGACUCCUACGGGAGGCAGCAGUGGGGAAUCUUCCGCAAUAGACGAAAGUCUGACGGAGCAACGCCGCGUGAGUGAUGACGGCCUUCGGGUUGUAAAGCUCUGUUAAUCGGGACGAAAGGCCUUCUUGCGAAUAGUGAGAAGGAUUGACGGUACCGGAAUAGAAAGCCACGGCUAACUACGUG
rnacentral:rRNA from 1 species